rnacentral:rRNA from 1 species
AUUACCGCGGCUGCUGGCACGGAGUUAGCCGGUGCUUCCUCACCCGGUACCGUCAGUCUCGCCAAGCGAGAUUUCGUCCCGGGCAACAGUGGUUUACACCCCGAAGGGCGUCCUCCCACACGCGGCGUCGCUGCGUCAGCCUUCCGGCCAUUGCGCAAGAUUCCCCACUGCUGCCUCCCGUAGG